rnacentral:rRNA from 1 species
GCGUGAGUGAUGAAGGCCUUAGGGUUGUAAAGCUCUUUUGUCCGGGAAGAUAAUGACGGUACCGGAAGAAUAAGCCCCGGCUAACCUCGUGCCAGCAGCCGCGGUAAUACGAGGGGGGCUAGCGUUGUUCGGAAUCACUGGGCGUAAAGCGCACGUAGGCGGUCUAUUAAGUCAGGGGUGAAAUCCCAGAGCUCAACUCUGGAACUGCCUUUGAUACUGGUAGGCUAGAGUGUGGAAGAGGUUGGUGGAACUCCGAGUGUAGAGGUGAAAUUCGU